rnacentral:rRNA from 1 species
GACGUAGGGGACGAGCGUUGUCCGGAUUCAUUGGGCGUAAAGCGCGCGUAGGCGGUUCGGUAAGUCGGGUGUGAAAACACGAGGCUCAACCUCGUGCGUGCAUCCGAUACUGCCGGACUAGAGGUAGGUAGGGGAGAUCGGAAUUCCUGGUGUAGCGGUGAAAUGCGCAGAUAUCAGGAGGAACACCGGUGGCGAAGGCGGAUCUCUGGGCCUUACCUGACGCUGAGGAGCGAAAGCAUGGGGAGCAAACAGG